UUUGUUUUCAGUAUGGCAGGAGGUGGAAAUUGAGUGUUUAUUCAAUUUGUUCUUCAGAAGUUUAUCAAUAUCAGAUGCUCUUUGUUCACUUAAUUCACUACCACGAUCUUUAUCUUCAAUUGUGCUAAAGGAUUCCGGUUUAUUUCAUGGAAUACAAAUCCGUUUGAUCUUUGCCAUAGUCACCGGACUCUAGCAUCCAAUCGUCUACGUAGUCGUAGAAAAAAGUAAAUGUUGUGGAAUUUAACGCUUUAUUGCAUCACAUCCGACUAAAAAAAUGACCAGGGAAACAGAAGGCUGACAGACAUAUUCAUAGAAAAUAUGAAAAAGCCCUGCCUGUUGCCGUGUUGGAACUUGUAUUGACCUGUAUGAGCAUCAUACUGUGCAAAUCACCUAAAGAUGGAGUUGACCAAGUUGCUGACUUUGAGGAGAACUUGAAGAGCAGAAGAUGCAUUCCAUGACUCUUAUGUGAUAUAGAAGACAAAGAAGAGCUCUUGAGAAUGGGGAAAAAAACUGCGAGUUUUACAGUCAAUGAACACACCUCACGAUACAAGUCCAUCCUGAUUCAGUAAACUAUUCUUCUAAGGAAACACCAUGACUUAGUUAAGAUCAAGUUUUGGUGUCAGAAGACUAAUGUAACUAAAACAUUGCAAAAUUAACCUGCAAGUGUCUUAUGUGAGCCUACUGAAUAAGGAUUCAUUACUGAACAGUUGAAGGAAAAUCACUAUUAUAAUGAUUUUUAAAAAAAAGAUGAUUGUGUUGUUUGGAUAACAUUGUGAUCCAUGUUUGUUGAAUAAACCAACUUUGCAAAAAUGAGUUGUUCUGUGUUAAUAUUAUAAAUUUACUAAUUACUGGUAUGUCAACAUAAAUUACAGUAACACUCAACAAACUUCAAUAAAUUUUAAAGUUUCAUGCAGUUUCUGCAGUAGAAAAUGACACCUAUUGAUUUUCUGGUCCAAAGGUCACCAGGUGCAAUACAAUACUCUGUACAAUUGAUGUCUGACCAGUUUCUUCAGAACCCUUUGAUUGAUAGUGAUAUUUCAUACAGGGGUUGGUCACUGGUAGUAUAUGACCCCCAUUGAUUUUCAGGUCAAAAGAUUAAAAAUGGCAGGGGGCUCCAUGGCCGAGUGGUUGGAGCAUAGCGUUCAAAAUGACACGGCCUCAGUCGGCACGGGUUCGAAUCCCGCUCGCGCUGGUAUUAAGUGAGAAAGUUUCCCAAUUUACUUUCGGAAGGUCGGUGGUCUCUUCCCAGGUACAUUGUAUCUGGGUUCUCACUUUCACCAAUAAACACUGGGCACCACCAGAAAACUGAAAAAUUGUUGAGUGUGGCGGAAAAUAUCAAUAAAUCAAUCAAUUAAAAAUGACUAGGUGCAAUGUAGCUAGUACUCUCUGCAAUG